rnacentral:rRNA from 1 species
AACGAACGCUGGCGGCAGGCUUAACACAUGCAAGUCGAGCGCCCCGCAAGGGGAGCGGCAGACGGGUGAGUAACGCGUGGGAAUCUACCCAUCUCUACGGAAUAACGCAUGGAAACGUGUGCUAAUACCGUAUACGUCCUUCGGGAGAAAGAUGUUAUCGGAGAUGGAUGAGCCCGCGUUGGAUUAGCUAGUUGGUGGGGUAAAGGCCUACCAAGGCGACGAUCCAUAGCUGGUCUGAGAGGAUGAUCAGCCACACUGGGACUGAGACACGGCCCAGACUCCUACGGGAGGCAGCAGUGGGGAAUAUUGGACAAUGGGCGCAAGCCUGAUCCAGCCAUGCCGCGUGAGUGAUGAAGGCCCUAGGGUUGUAAAGCUCUUUCACCGGUGAAGAUAAUGACGGUAACCGGAGAAGAAGCCCCGGCUAACAUCGUGCCAGCAGCCGCAGUAAUAC